CCUACUUCUGGCAGCAGUGGGGGAUAUUGCACAAUGGGGGAAACCCUGAUGCAGCGACGCCGCGUGUAGGAAGACGGUCCUCUGGAUUGUAAACUACUGUCCCCAGGGACGAAGAUGACGGUACCUGGGGAGGAAGCUCCGGCUAACUACGUGCCAGCAGCCGCGGUAAUACGUAGGGAGCGAGCGUUGUCCGGAAGUACUGGGUGUAAAGGGAGCGUAGGCGGGGAUGCAAGUUGGGGGUUAAAUCUACCGGCUCAACUGGUAGUCGCACUCAAAACUGCAGCUCUUGAGUGAAGUAGAGGCAGGCGGAAUUCCUAGUGUAGCGGUGAAAUGCGUAGAUAUUAGGAGGAACACCAGUUGCGAAGGCGGCCUGCUGGGCUUUUACUGACGCUGAGGCUCGAAAGUGUGGGGAGCAAACAGGAUUAGAUACCCCGGUAGUC
rnacentral:rRNA from 1 species